GGGUCGUUAGCUCAGUUGGUAGAGCACCGGGCUUUUAAUCCGUUGGUCCAGGGUUCGAAUCCCUGACGACCCACCA
rnacentral:tRNA from 1 species